rnacentral:tRNA from 1 species
AGGAGAGAGAGGGAUUCGAACCCUCGAUAGUUCUAUGAACUAUACCGGUUUUCAAGACCGGAGCCAUCAACCACUCGGCCAUCUCUCC